GACGAACGCUGGCGGCGUGCCUAAUACAUGCAAGUCGAGCGAACAGACGCUGCGCUUGCUCCUUUGACGUUAGCCGCGGACGGGUGAGACACGUGUGUAUACCCUACCUAUCUGACUGAGAUCACUUCGGGAAACCGGCGAUUAUCCCGGAUAAUCUCUUGAUCCGCAUGGUUCAAUGGUGAGAGUCGGUUUUGCUGUCACUUAUCGCUGCAUACGGGCCGCAUUGGCUAGUUGGUACGGUCACGGCUUACCAAGGCAAGCAUGCGUAGCCGACCUGAGGGGGUGAUCGGCCACACGGGAACUGAGACAGGGUCCUGACGCCUGAGGUAGGCAGCAGAAGGGAAUCGUCCGCAAUAGGCGAAAGUCUGACGGAGCGACGGCGCGUGAGUGAUGAAGGUCUUCGGAUCGUAAAACUCUGUUAUUAGGGAAGAACAAAUUUGUAAUUAACCAUGCACGGCGUGACGGUACCUAAUCAGAAAGCCACGGCUAACUACGUG
rnacentral:rRNA from 1 species